UACGUAGGGUGCGAGCGUUGUCCGGAAUUACUGGGCGUAAAGAGCUCGUAGGUGGUUUGUCGCGUUGUUCGUGAAAACUCACAACUCAAUUGUGGGCGUGCGGGCGAUACGGGCAGACUGGAGUACUGCAGGGGAGACUGGAAUUCCUGGUGUAGCGGUGGAAUGCGCAGAUAUCAGGAGGAACACCGGUGGCGAAGGCGGCCCUCUGGACGGAUACUGACGCUGAGGCGCGAAAGCGUGGGGAUCAAACAGG
rnacentral:rRNA from 1 species